rnacentral:rRNA from 1 species
UACGGAGGAGGCAAGCGUUAUCCGGAAUUAUUAGGCGUAAAGCGUCCGCAGGUGGCACCUCAAGUCUGCUGUCAAAGACCGGGGCUUAACCCCAGAAAGGCAGUGGAAACUGAAGUGCUAGAGUGCAGUAGGGGUAGAGGGAAUUCCCGGUGUAGCGGUGAAAUGCGUAGAGAUCGGGAAGAACAUCGGUGGCGAAAGCGCUCUGCUGGACUGCAACUGACACUCAGGGACGAAAGCUAGGGGAGCGAAUGGG